rnacentral:rRNA from 1 species
GAAGUUGGAGUCGCUAGUAAUCGCAGAUCAGCAACGCUGCGGUGAAUACGUUCCCGGGCCUUGUACACACCGCCCGUCACGUCGUGAAAGUCGGUAACACCCGAAGCCGGUGGCCUAACCCCUUGUGGGAGGGAGCCGUCGAAGGUGGGAUCGGCGAUUGGGACGAAGUCGUAACAAGGUAGCCGUACCGGAAGGUGCGGCUGGAUCACCUCCUUU